GUCUCAGAUUUUCCACAUAAUCAACUGAAAGUAUUUCAGUUCCGUAGAAGUUACAGUCGGCUGUUUUUAAGAGAAGCUCGUACUGUUGCACCUGUCAAUCAAACCAGCGUUCGCGCCUCAGGAAACUACCUGCAUGCCAAACUGCCUCGUAAAAAUAACCGAACUCACUUGGUGCCACAACGACGCGUCAUGGUUUUUAGUUCCACCCUCCGUCCAGGUGCCGCUGUUCUCGAGGAAAUACCUGCCGAAACAAUUACCCGCAAGUCCUUGCAAUGUGACGUAAGGUCAAGUAAAGGGGAACAAGGAAGACGGAACGUGUGUUCAGGCUGUCAUAUUAAAAAGCGUAUAAAUUUAAAACGUCGAGGAUUAAAGAAAAAACAUGAAAUCACACGAUAUUAAUUUAUUCAUUCAUUAAAUUAAAAUUAAAGAAAACAUUUUCUUCACAGGAAUUUUGACAAAGGACCUUUCAUUUCAUGGAGAAAGAGCCUGGAAGACGUUCGUAUCAACGGGUAGAAGGUAUUCAUUGCAUAGACCCUCACUGUCAGGUGAGUCCCUGAGGGGUCAGGGGUCAGGGUGCAGAUCGGGAUUGGGCCCUAAUGUCAUGACAGCGUUGCUCUCGCCCGCUCACUUUUGAGCUAAAAUGCCCGGCCGUGGCUAUAAAAGGUUUGCUUCCACUGAGCCUGUGACACUCAAAGCGAGCCCACGGCUCCUGACUGACACCGGUACCGGAUUAGCGCGGUUUAGACGGGGGAAAGAGGAAACACGGAGAGAGUUCCGACGAUUUAACGACGAAACACCCGACACUGACGGGGAUCACCGAACACAGAAGAAACGUCCACAGGAGAAACGGGUACGUGAAGCUCAGAGGAGAAACCGCUUCGCCAAAACCUCCACCGGGUUUUUCCUUGUGUGGAAAUAUGAACACGUUUCCGGCCUGUCUGUUCUGUAACAGGCCCACUAGAUGUCCCCCUUGCUUCGUGUUACACCUCCGUACUGGUCCCGCUGGGGACACUAUGGAGGACGUUGGUCUGCAGAUGCUUGUGCCCUCAUUUCAAAGCGUGCACCUCUAUCUGGAGUGUGUGUGUGUGUGUGUGUGUGUUAGUGGUUGUAAGCAACCCUUUGUGUACUUGCAUUACGGCACGGCCCGGUUGGGAUCGCACCGUUUGCAGCUGGUUAACGGCGUCUACAGAGCUGAGUUUCCGGGGAGCGGAGAAAGUAAUCAAGGCCAGUUUCCAGGCGGUCGCCUCCUCCUCCCGGGGUCCACGCCGCCGGUCCCAGGUGUCGGCGAGUCGUGCUAUUACCGCGGGGCAAUGAGCUGCAGACAGCCACAAUGAUUUGGGGUGAACGCAGGCUGACCCACACGCUCGCGUUCAAGCUCGGACUGAAAGACACAAAGACGCAGAGCGAGCAGGAGACACGCGGGUUCAUCGUGCAAGCGAGUCAUCCGUGAGCUUGUGACAGAAAUAUCGGCCGUAUCCCUCUCGGCACGGAGCACAGUCCUCUAGUAUUUUCAUCCUAUUAAACCUGUGAGAACUGCAUUCAGCCUUUUUGUGCGGCUGAGUGUUGUGUUUCUAAUUCGUGGCUUGAUUAUGUCGGAAGGCAUUAUGUGCACUCAGAGAGCCAUUGUUCCGCAGCGCAAAUCUUGAUCCUUGCUGAGAAUCCGGCAGCUCGAGAGGGGAUGAGAUUAGUGCAGAUUGGCUAUUGUGAACAUCAAGCUCUUAUUUCCUUAACAUCUCGUGUGUGUGUGUGUGUGUGUGAGUGUGAGUGUGUGUGUGUGGGGGGCGGGCUCAAAGGCAUGUAGUUUUCCUCCAGGCAGGUGUAGUCUGGCAAGGCUUGUUAAACCUGAAACGGUUGAUCAAAUGCUCAGCUCCUCGUGCUUCUGAGAGCUCGUGGAUGUCGCUGUGCUGAUAGAACGGGCUUUGUAGCGCCUAUCGGCGCCGGCCUCCCUUCGUCGCCCGCCCGGGUCGGCCGUCUGUCAGGAAAAAAUGGUUUUGUAUGAUUUCUUUAAAAAGAGCCAAUGUAAAGAAAAGGCAGCCUUUAACUGGAGUAAUCCAUCUUGCGCCAACGGUGUCAGAGUGAUUCACGGUUUCCAAUUUAGCCGCGGUUCGGAUCUAAAGUAAAUCAGGCAGGACGGCUCCUCCCUUUUGUGCAGCCGGACGACAAACCCUCAGUGACAAGAGCUCUCAAAUGAACAUAUCCGCCACAUCCAUCUUGUUCAUUUAUUGCAUCAGACGUGCCACUGCUUGUCCUACAUAGAUCAGCAAGCAAAGACCUCCUGGCUUUGUGAGUAUCUUGCAGAGAAGGUGAGGCUUUAAAGCUGUCGUCUAGUAGAAUGUUGGAUAAAAGGGGGAGGACCCAGAUUUAAAGUCUGUGUUUAAUCAUGUCUGCUUUGAUUAUCCGAGGCGGAAGCUGAAAAAGAGCUCAAAUCGGAAUGCUUGAUUACAUUUGAACCACAAUAACCUCAUUAGUUCAUAAUCGGUCAGUGUUUAUGUCAUGGUUAUUUUUGGAUUUUUCAAAAAUCAGUCCAAGGCUGUACAUGCGUACAAGCCAGUUCCUUUAAUUGCCUCAGUUUCCUGAGAAAAACCCUUCACCUAAUGCACUUGAGUAGCAAUUUGUCUGUCCAGCACUGCAGGGCACCUUAUGGAAAGAGCUUCAUGAAUAUUCGGGUCAAAUGGAACAGGGAAGCGCCUUCUGCCAUUCAUUCAGUUCAUUCAAAACACAUGUUUGUCCUCUGGGUAAUCUCACCCUUUAACUGUCCCACAACCGUGCAAACGCUUUGCUUCUCCGCCUGAAAUAUGUGUGCUCCAGCCGGCCAUAUAUCAUAUAAAGACGGCCGCGUGCAGGUGCGACGGAUCCCGAUGCAGCUCCGGCCCCUCGCAGGUGUGACCUCGGCACGAGGCGCCGGCCUCGUCCGGGAGCAGCAACAAAGCCACGAUUAAUUGUUCCUGUCGGUUUGGGUCACACAGGCCGACGUGUUAUUCUGCAUGUUACUCACAUCCGUCCCAACAAAGGCGCACACGCACAACAUGCACGAGGCACGCGGAGGCGUGUCCAUUGCAAGGACACGUGGUCUCACACACACACACACACAAAAAAGGCUUUUGCACAGACAAAAACCCGCUCCCGCAGCCCGGCGGCCUCGUGCGGUAUUCAUUACCGUCCAUGUCAGGAUCCACAACGAGAAGUGAUGGCUGGACCUCCCGCCGGUCUGCACUGUUCAAAGCCGAGCUCCUCUCCCCCGGACGGGAAGGGAGGCCGGGAUGAUUGAUGCACGCUCUGCCGGGAUCUCGGAGAGAAAGCACCGGUUUCUGUUUCUGGUGAAGCGCUUCGCUCACGUCGUGGGGGAAUUGUUCUGUGGUUUCUUGUCUCCUCUUGCAUUCUUCCAUAUUCUUUGCUGAUGGGGUUAGCCUCAGCCAGGACCUUGAUGACGCUUCCUGCUGCUGAAGGACGCGGAUGCCGCUCAUCUCGAUCCAGCGAUUCCCUCACUCUCGGCGAUGGUUGUGUCAUGAAAGCCUGCGUGGGGGUUCGUAGCUGGUUGUUAAUGAUCUAAUGCUUCAACAGAUCCGGACUGCUGUUGUGAUAUACAGUGAGGACUAUACUGCCACACAGCACUCCACCGUGGUCGCCGAAUGGGGAAACAUCAUGUCCGACCUGUACGGCAGAGACUCCUGCGGGCCCUUUAACUCUGCUGCACGAGAGUGUGUGUGUGUGCUUGAAAGUAAUGCUUGAAGUGUGUUUACAGUCCUGAUAAUAAUAUACUCCUUCCCGGACCCGUCCACUGGGCUCCCUCCUAUAAUUAUAAGACCAACGCUGAAGAGGAAACCCCCCCCCUCCCCUUAUUGGUAAAAGGCUCAAGUGUUUAAGAGGUGUUGGAAAAAGAAAUAAUCGCAGAUGAGGGCAGAUUUUUCCAUCUUUCUCAGUGUUCUUUCCUUUGCCGGUCCGUAGCCACGGGGUCGUGGCGGGGUGUUGACAGCUCUUGUGCUCCACUGUGCAUGUGUGGGCAUUAGUUUGCUGUCAGUAGAGCCACAUGGGGCGGCUGUUGCCAUUAGCUGUUAGAUUUCUGAUUCACACCCGGUGGGAGUCAGUUGUCGGGAGACAAGCUGCCAACUGGCCGGGCUGUUUAUUGUAACGUCGGCCUCAAGCCCCUUUUUUUUUUUGGUCUUGUGUCACUGAUUCUGCAUCCACACUUUCCUUUUGGCUUUUGUAUCCAAACGGGAAGAAUACACUAAAAGUUGCAGCCAACGAUUGAUUACUCUGAUGUUCCAAAUAUAUACAAAGAGCCUAAGGGGACAUGCUCAAACGUCUUGUUUUGAUGAAGUAAUCAACAGUUCAAGCGCCACAAAUAUUCAUGUACAUUAAAUUAAAACUGAGAAAAGCUGUCAUUAGAAUAUGAGAAUAUUUGCUAUAUAUAUAUAUAUAUAUAUAUUCAAAUUCAAAACGAAUAAAUACAUGAGACAAUCGACUCGUUUGUAGGCGUUUGUAGGGUUGGUUACCAUGCAGGCGGUUGUAGGGUUGUUUACCAUGUAAGCGGUUGUAGGGUUGGUUACCAUGCAGGCGGUUGUAGGAUUGGUUACCAUGCCGGCGGUUUUAGGGUUGGUUACCAUGCCGGCGGUUGUAGGGUUGGUUACCAUGCAGGCGGUUGUAGGGUUGUUUACCAUGUAAGCGGUUGUAGGGUUGGUUACCAUGCAAGCGGUUGUAGGGUUGGUUACCAUGCAAGCGGUUGUAGGGUUGGUUACCAUGCAGGCGGUUGUAGGGUUGGUUACCAUGCAGGCGGUUGUAGGGUUGGUUACCAUGCAGGCGGUUGUAGGGUUGGUUACCAUGCAGGCGGUUGUAGGGUUGGUUACCAUGCAGGCGGUUGUAGGGUUGGUUACCAUGCAGGCGGUUGUAGGGUUGGUUACCAUGCCAUGUGUCAUUUUGAUGAGCUCUAAAUCACUUACAUCUUCUACGGAGGAAAAGGCCUAAGCCGCUGAGAGAGAACUAUGCGUUUUGUUGGAUUAUUUCCCAACGGUUUGAAGAGCUUUUAACCCCACAGCCAGCUUUGUUUUGCUCUCCUCAGCGAUGUGUAAAAACUGUAAUUCUUCCUUAUCAUGACCCAAACAUGCAGCCAUUCAUCCAGCUGGCGCCAGUUUUUAUUUGCUCGGCUCCAGUUCGCUUGUCAGCCUCAUGCCAUGAAUACCUGAAAUGGAAUUCUGAGUGGUUAAACACAGGUACUAAUUCACAGUUUCUUUCCCUAAUGAAAAUGAUUACCAUACAAAACAUGCACAUUAUGUUGUUUUUAGCUCUGGGGCUUAAUAGGGUGAUCAUUUCUUGUCAUUUCAUUGCCAAGAACUUUAAUGGAAUUUCCGGGUAAUUGCAAAAAUACUAAUGGAAAUCACAUAUUUUGCAAUGUAAAAUUGCAGAAAGCAAAUACUAUGAAGGCGGAUAAAUCACCAAUAGUAAUAGUAUCGCUAAUAUUAAUGAGAAUCAAAAGAGAAUUGCACAUUAGUGCGCCUCUACGCAGUAAGCGUUCACGACCCGGAAUAAAGAGAGUGAAUAACACGAGCACAGAGAUUUUAGUCAUCAAAUAACCAAAAAUGAACUGAUGCUCAGCAAAGCAGUGUCAACAAUAAACAACCAGGCAGACAGUCAAGAUUUCCUGUAUAGUGAGAAACAUUUCAAUUACACUGUACAUGGAAAGGGCAUCUCUGCAGCAGGAUUGAUAUGUCAUUCUAACAAGUUCCAAUUAAAAAGGGAGAAUGCCUCCAUUAUUAUUUUAUUAAAAGACCUGUGUCUCAGGCCGCUUUGAAAGAGAGGCACAUUUCCGGUUACAGGUGAGAGUCCGUCAGGCGUGAAAUGAGUACAGCACACGUGAAACAAUCCUCAUGUCCCGGUGGACGCCGUCAUUUAGCUUUACAAUUAUAUUGAACUACCGUGUGUGUGUGUGUGUGUGUGUGUGUGUUUAUUUCUCUGAUCCAUUUUAGUCGUUCAUAUAUUCAACAUCAUGCAUUUGCCUUCUUUUUCUAAGGCCCUCUCACUCAAAACUCUAAAAAUAUCAGAAAAUUGAUUAAUUGGAAGAAACAUUUCACAAAUGUUUGUCACAUUUUUCAAUUUAUCUUGAGUGUUUUUUUCGACUGAACGAUUUAGUGGAUAAACCAACCCGGUGCUCCACACGCCGCUCGGUAGUGAAAACAGUCAUUUUGCACCUCGCAAAAAUAAACUCACACAUGAGCUACAGUAUGAAGAAAAACAAAGAUUCCUCAUGCGCCGCAUGGCGCUUCUUUCAGAAUGCUGGUGGAGUCUGAGAGCGGCGCUCUGUGACCUUAUUGACAAACAGUCCAACGCGCUCUUCUCUAGUCACAAGGAGAGAACAUGGCAGCAGUUCAUGUGGAAAUUAACUUUGCCCGAGCAGCCGCAGCGUAACUGGCGUGCCAUGAAAGGAAUACUCAUGCAAACAGAAACGGCCUGCGGGGGUCUCCGCCUUGACCCCGUUCAAACUUCGCGGGAGGCGAUGAAAGCUCCUUGUGGCUUCUCCUCUUCUCGAAUAUGGUGGAAAUGAUGGAAUACAUUAAUGCCGGUGGAGGACUGUGACCUGACACAUGCAUCGGGGGGGGCAAUGAAUACGAGGCGCUUCUGAGCGCCGAAAAGCUCGAGACGGAUAAAUACAAAAAAAACAAAACAAAAAGCAGAUUCUGAAUGUGUGCCUCCUCCUCCAGCUCCUCCGUUGGAGCUAAUUAUGGCGUGUAAGCAGCAGCCUGGGGAUAAGCCACAUACCAAUACUCCAAACUGUCUGUUACCCCUCACAGCUUGAACCUGCGUAACGCGGCUUAUCAGCAUCUUCUCCGGCUUCCAGCUCCCCGUCUCUUUCCCAAAGAGCCUAAUUGCCUUGAUACGCGCAUCACGUACAGCGUGAAAUGUUGAUUCCACCUUAAUUAUCUUCCCCAAGGGGUCAACGCUGCGACUUCCGCGAAGAAAAAGAAAGCAGCGCUGCGUCCACGCGAGGGAGCUUUGCGGUGUUCGUUACCCGCCGAGCCGCUUCAGGCAUUUAGCCCGGAUGACGCGGUGAUUUAAAAAAGCCACCGUGACACAUUUCAACAAUCACCUUUUAAUCUCUUAGAUCUCCCUCAUUUAAAAUGUCACGGCCGACGUUUAAGUGCCGGUCGUUUGCCGACAGGCAGCGAGGCAGUCUUAUCAGAUGAAAUGUGAAAUAAGUGAUGGGAGGUAAUUGAGAGAGCGAGAAGGGCCGGUGUCAUCGACCGCGUCCGUGUGACCGCGUGGUAUCUCUGGUACCUUCGUGUGUAACUGUGGCUUAUAGAGGAAGAGAUAUUUUCAAAAUAUUAAAAAAAACAACCCUCAAUGACGAUCUCUGCACUGUGAGCAAUAGUUCAAAGCGUUUUCACAUUAUUAAAUACGUUAAAAGUAAUUGUUUAAAGAGUCAAAUGAUUGCUUUUACUCUGAAUAGAUGGAUUCACAGCAACUAUGUAGCUGCAGCAAGAAGCCAGUUAGCUUAGCGUAGCAUAAUGAAUGGAUCAUGUGUGUAUUUUAUAUAUUCUAGAGUCCACUGCUUAAGAAACUCACUAUUUUGUGUUUCUGAGCUAAAAAGCAAACGCAGCGGGAAGCACUGAUUGUCAGCUACUAGAGUUCCAGUCGCUCUCUCACUGCUCGGCGGGUCGGCGGCUCUGAAACACCGCGGAGACCACUGAAUCAAGGGGACCUAACCCACCUGCUGACUGGUGCUACUUCCCAAACCGGGAGGGAGAGCGGGGGACAAAUGUGGCCCCGAGACAGAGGGUCUGUCACAGUGCAGCCGACGCCAGGCAGGUUUCACCGGUCGAUGUCCCCCGGAGAAGAGAAGGACGACGUUGCCAUCACUGCCUGCGAGUUUAUCAUCCGCCAACAGGGGUCACUCUGUGUUCAGCAAAAAAAGAAGAAGAAGAAGAGAGCGGCGGCUGCUGGGGAGGAGAAGGUGAGGAGAAGCGGGAGGAAAGUGUGAUCCGGAUGAAGGUGUUGGGCGGUCAAAGGAGGGAAAGGACACGGGAGAUGAGCGUGGACAUUUUGGGGGAGGACAGAUGAAGGAAACAGUCAGGUGGACGGGGUGCAGAAAGCCGGGUAACCCGCGGCGAUGGGAAACAAGAAGCUCCUCCACCGUUUCUGCUCCUGGAGAAGUGGUCGGUGAACCAACCGGAAAGUUCCGAAAGUCCCACUCGGGAGGCGGGACCGUGGGAGGGAAAAGGGACGGAUCAGGCUGUUUUCAUUGCUUGGCAACCGCAUCCAACGGCCCCUGUCUGCUCAUCAAUCAUUCACAGUACACUCCUAUUCCCCAGCAAGCUGCCCCCCCCACACCUCCCCCCGCACUCCCCUCAUCCUCUCUUUUCUCCUUCCAAAUUCUCUCGCUCACGUCCCCAUUCUCCUUCCACUGUGUCUGUUCUGCGCUGUCGGUCCUCAGAGCCUCGGAGCACAAGUUGAGAUACAUUAAAGAUGAACGGCCUCGGAUCCUCCCGCUGGAUCCCGUCUCUAGUUUUUUUGGAGGGGAGCCUGUUUCGUUCUGCGUGUUAGUUAAGACCUAAUGGGACGUGAGAGUAGAAACAGUGAUUUCAAGGUAACCCUCCUCCCUCACAAUUAGUGCGAGCUUAAGCGUAUACGGACAAACGAUUUUAUUUUCAAUUGAACAGCCAUGAAAACACGUCGUUGGAGAGCUGCAGGUAGUUGAGGAGAAAAGUGGAAUAGAAUAGAGUCAUGUGGGUAGAAACUCCCGGCUCCCCGAGACAAAAGCAAGUUCAUGCCUCCAUAUAUUGUGUCCAAAUAUUGUACUUCAUGAGGUACAUGAGGUCACUUGGCCAGCAGGCGACGUGGGUGAAUACCUACAAUAUCUGCACAGCCUGCUAUAUAUAUUAUAUUUGUGUGAUGUACAGUAGUUCAACACUUAAUACAAUUGAGAUUUAGAAUGUGUACAGAUUAAUUUAUCUGAUGCAAAUGAAAAGCCAGCUCAUUUGUUUUAAUGGGUGAUGCAUUUUUAAAACACUUGCUGUUUAAAUCACAGUGGAUCCCUUUUUGCUUCUUUUUUUUUUUUUUACGCAUUUCAACAUCAUUUUUCAGCUUGGUCAUACAACGAGUUAAUGUAUCUGGUGCCCUGAGAGAUUGGAGAACCAUUUCAACGUUCCAUUCUAUCUCUUCUGCAUGUUCCCUGCUGCUCUCUCCCUUUUCUAACAGAUGUUUGAGUGUCUGUGUUGCAUUCUGGGUGAUUAACCCUGGAUUUCGUUCGACUAAAUUUGGAUGCUCCAGAUUCUCGUUAUCUCUGUUGUGAGAUCUGAGUGCUCACGCGCAACACGGAGGUGCUUCCUUAUCUAUUUUUGAUAUCUGCCAGGGGAAGAGAAAGUAUUCAGGCCCUUAACAUCAGUAAAAGUACUUAUCCCGCUGAGUACUGUAGAAGUACUCCGUUACUAAAAAAAUAUCCUGCAUUGAAAAUGUUCCUUCAGUAAAAAGUAGGUAAGAUAUUCAUGAAAAUGUACUUAAAUUGAAAUACUCUAAGUAGAGAAAUGUCCUGUCACUAAUAAACUUCUAUAUAUUAUAUUGCUAGACUCCUUUUACUCAUUGAUUAAAGGUAUGAGGGGUCAUAGAGUUGGAGAUGGAGUUAACUUUCAUAGUCAUCUGUACUUCUCAAGAGGGCAGUCGAGUUAAAAUACAGCUUAUGGAUUGAUAAUCACAUCGUCUUACGGCCAAAACUCACUGAACUGGCAAAGUAAAGGGAAAUAAAACCUCCCCUUUGUACAGACAUAACCGUGCAUCAUGUAACUCUUUGCUAUUCUGUGCCGAUUUGUGGAGCUGUGACGUCACUGCUGCCGGUGGCCGUAGUUCUCUGGUCCUCUUUAGAGUCGCGUACGUUCAGCUGCACAGCGCGGAGGAGCCUUUGCCCUUUGCCCUUUGCCCUCUGCUUCCCUGCAGCAUAAACCGGUCCAGCUUCAGGUUUCCAUUAGGAAUCCACCUCUGUCUCCACCUGGUGGACGCACUGUGGUCCUGCACAUGUGAUGAAGGCGUUGGUCUUCAGUACAGAACCAAAAGGUCCAAAAUGAGAUGUUUCAUGGUUUUCUUUAAAUGGGAAUAUGUCUAGAUGUCUGAUUGAUAAACGUUUCCAAACAAGGCCAAAAUAAAUCACGAAUUACUACAUUGACAUGAAAUAAAUGUAACGCAGAUUGAAAAUGAAGAUAAUGAAUGAGCUUCUCCUUCUUGAUUCACUAAGACCAAGUAAUGCUGAUUCAAGUUUUAUUUUUAUCAUGAUAUCAAGAUGAUUGAGAUAUUGUGGUCUUUAGUUCUAUUUGGAGAGAUUCCUGGGAUUUAUGAGGUUAAAGUGUCUCAGUUUUAACAGAAGGCCUGAAGGGGAUUCUUUAAUAAGAUUGGUUUACUGUAUAAUUUGUAGAAAAAGGUCACAUUAUCAGCUCCUCCUGAUCGGCAAAACCAUAUGAAUGUUAUAAUAAAAAAAAGUGUUAAAACGGUCUGUUAAAAAUGCUCGUCUGACAACAUACGCACAUCAAUCUGCAAGUUGAUAUCAAAUUCAUGACAAAUGGGUUUUGCUUUUUGGAGAUGGAUUUAAAAAAAAUCGGUCGGGUGAUUAUAAGCUUUUUCUUUUAAAAAUGUCCCGUGAAAAUAAAACAAUUAAGGAAGAGAUGUCAUUCUUUGUAAAUACAAUUCUUUACUGAUAUCAGGCAUCCAGAGAAAUGAUAUAACACAACAGUGGUAUGAAUGCUAGUGUGCUAUCGUCCAUUAUUUAAUGCAAAAAGAAGCAUUUCGACCCCAGUAAAUGGUGUGAAUGUCUUCUCUCUGCUUUUUUAAAUAUCAAAUAACUCACGCCGGUUGGAUCUACUUGUUUCCACGGGCACUGUGUCCCCAAAAGAAGCAUCUCUUUGUGUGGACUCUCAAAAGAGCUCCCUGGUGCCCAGUUAAGCUACGACAGCGCCGCUUGUCAAUACUCGUGUUUACGUUCGCGCUCGGCUGAGACGCAGUUUGGUGAUUCUGAGGCUGAGGGGCUGAAUCCUCGUGUCACUCGUAACAUCCGGCGAGUGGCUCGGGUCCCGCGGACUGGGACGGGCAAUUUAUUCAACACCGUCUUUGUGGAGUUCAUUGGGUUUUUUUUUUCUUUCUCUGUGAUGAUCGCUUUUACCUGUCUUACGUCUUAUUGACUAUUUGCCUCAUACGUCAGCGGUUAAAUGAAAAGUAGUCACAAAAGCCUCGAAGAAUAAUCCCCCAAAUCUGUAGUUUUGCAGCGUCACUCAUUUGGUUCGGUCUCAAAGCUCCAUCAUCGUCGUCUUCGUCAGACAUCCGUCUCCCUGUUGGAAAGUUGGAAACAAGCCCUUGAGGAUGGUUUUACAUUUUAUUCAGAGCGCAUUUAACCGCGAGGGUUCAGGCCCAGAACAAAAGGAAUAGAAACCAAGUGCUAUGAGUGAGUGUCGUGCUGCUAAAUCAUUACCUAUCCAAAGUGCUGAUGCAGAGGUGUGUUUUCGCUUUGCCGCUAAAGAGACGGAGGUUUUUUCUCAGGAGUUUUUUGCAACAAAAAGUGAGAUCAGGUCAGAAUAUAAGACGUGCAUUUGUCGGAUGACUCAACGCGUGUCCGCUGUAGUGUGAGCAACAGUUUGCCAACACGUUGUGUUUAAAGAUUGCUCGUCUGCAGGGGAAAUGCUACGAGCCUCGAGGCCCCUCUAACAUGAGUGAAGACCCUCUGGGCGCCGGUUAACUGUCUGAAUGGACACCUUUUUCAAAUGCUUGAUUCAGCGAGGGAGGUUCUCUCCACCAGUUAAUUAAGGCUGCUCGUCUUCCCUGCUCUCCACGUCCGCCACGGACAGACGAUGCGUGUGUCUUGCUGAUCCGCGGUUUGGUACGGUCGCCGUUGGAGACGCGUCGAGAUGGAGCACAUGCCACAUCAAAGCAUCCGAGCCGACCGAGAUGCAGAUGGACUUUGUGUCCCUUCAUUAAGCAUGCGCCGAGCCUCCUGGCUGCGGUUCCCCCUUUGCCGCUGACGAAAGGGACCCGGGGCCUCUUAACCAGCUGUAGGCGGAGCCCGUUUGUGACAAAUGGCCAAAGACGUCCACGUCUCUCAAUCAAUAAUCCCGGCUGUGCCUCCCUCACUAACCGCUCAUUUCCUGUGUCUUUCUCUAUUUCUCUUCCACUUUGUCUCCAACUUGCUCUUCUGUCUCAGACACACACACACACACACACACACACACACACAUGUACGCAUAAGUGUAAGGAUGGGAUCUGGGUGCCAUGACAACAGGGCACAUCAGAAUCCAAUUAAAUGGAACUUCCUCCCACUUCAGCAGACCGACUAAUAACUUCCUCCCACUAUCUCCCCCCCUUUGCAUGAAAAUAACUUUCAGAUGUUUAAGUCAUUCACAUCCGCGCUCUCGUAGCGUUGAUAAGAUUAUUCCGUCAAACUGGUGGAGGGAACAGGGGGGCGCGGGGGGGGGGGGGGUCGAAUACGAUCAGAAUGAACAAGUGGUACGAUGCAGCACAGAUGCCAUUUCUCUGGACGUAACGGAUCGAAACGUGAACACGUCCGUAACUGCAUAAUCGCACCACAUGUUGAUGAAGGAAUGGUGAAACCUCCACAUGCUAAAUGCUACGAGCGGCUUUCAACUUGGACCUCGUGCCACAAAUGAGACACCAUCUUUUUAUUUGCUCGACUUCGCGACCACGUCUCACCGUCUGGAGGCAGUUUUACACUCAUUCCAUCAUUGAACCGGCAGUGUUUUCUUGAUCGGGGAAAUCUAAUAAUCUUUAUUAUGUUUUCAUUAGUGUGGAAUCGGCUGCUGCACUUUGCGCUCAGAGGCCACCGUGUUUCAUGGCGAAUCAGCGCCCAUCAUGCAGCGACCGAAUGCACGACAUGUGGACAAAACCUGCAGCUGCAUCUCAACAUCAGAGUGACAGUUGUUAGCAAUGACACAUUUCACAUCUGCAAUCAUGAAUAGUCAUUUUCAUAUCCCUGGAUUUCCAACACAUUGUGCUCAUCACACAUGCAGCCCCUGAGACAAAGCCGUGCCUUUUUCUCUCAUAAACCCCUUUAAAAGCAUCACGCGUCGUGCCGGACGGUACACGUUACAAACCCGUGAUCUACGACGCGCUGUGGCACCGCCGACGUCCCGGAGACCCGGGCUUUGUGUCGCUGUCGUUGCAGGGCAUGCAUCUGCAGAACCCCAUCUGCUGCUGGGCUCCCACAGUGUGCUAAACGGAGUGGGCAUCAUCAAUCACUGCCACCUCCACAUGGGCACUGCCAAGCCCCCCGAGAGAUAGAGAGAGAGAGAGAGAGAGGCCCCCCGCCUCCAGUGAGAAGCAGCUUACACAUAACACAUCCGAGAGGAUGGCCCGGUAAUGUCCCUGAAGGGCUGCCUCCACGCUGGGCUCAGUGACUGCUGAGGGGGGGUUGGGGGCUAGCGGCAGCCCACCGCCGCAGGACUGCACACACGAGGCCGAACGUCGCAUCAACGCCGCGGCGAGCCCCGGGAGGAUUGAGGGACCAGGCCCACCACCACAAUUAAAAGGAAAAUGAUUAGCAAUUAGCCUGCCAGAGAGAAAUAAGACAACGUUGCUGCUGCUGUAGACCCAUCGUGUGAUGGGGGGGGGGUGAUGUGUAUUGUGUUGGAGAUAGUGAAGUGCACUCCAUGUGCAGAUGAGUGUGCGUUGCCCACGGGGCUCAGCAGGGUUUGUGCCUCCCACGCCACGCCGCACAAACCCACGCACUCCUCUCGUCUGAGCCAGGAGGGGGGGGGGGUGGGGGGGUAGCGAGGUGGUCUCUUUGGUUUUGGCGGCGGGCCGUCGGCCCUCGGCAACCGCCGCGCUUCUCUGCUGACAAUCCUGCGCUCGGUCGGCGGGAUGUUCCAGUCACGGGGUCACGGGGUCACCGUUGGGCUCUGGAUCCGUUUUGCCGUGUUUUGGCCGCGUGGACGCUCGUCCAACGCGGACUCGGAGUGACUUUUAUAAAUAGUAAAAUAAAUCAAAAGGCUGACAUGAUAAAAUCCUCUGACAAUUGAAUGAUGAAUUUGCUCUCCCGUACCCGAGUGUGCUUCGGAUCGCCUGGAGGUUAUUGCUGUGUAUUUUAUUCACCGCGGGUCAUUCAUCACCUGGGCCCAUUAUCAGCCACAGUCUCCCAUGAAGAGAGGGAGAGAGGGGGAGAGAGGGGGAGAGAGGGGGAGAGAGCGUAAAUGCGAGUUGUAUUUCUGUGUGUGAGAGUAAAGAUAACUCUUUAUGAUUUGUGGUCUAAAACAGAGAUGAUGAAGCUGAAUGCCCUAAAAAAAAGCAUAUUUUCUGCUAAGAAAAUUGAAUAAAUGCUACUGUUGCUCAGCAGAUGAAACCUGCCAUGGAUGUUAUAUGUGAGGAUGUGACGAAACACAGGACGACAAAGCCGAGCUCACGCGGCACAAGAACAACCGAAGGCUGUAAAAGUCCGAGAAAGACGUCUGAAAACAGAAGAAGGCGCGACCCCCACGGUGCUAUUAAUUAAAGAAACUUGCAGUCUGCCGAUGCAGCACAAUAUGAAAUGAGCGGAAUAUUGUGAUAUUUUGCCGAAAUGACUCAAGAUCUGUAAACAUGAAUAAUAACUGUCAUCUUCUUUGGAUUCCCACCUAAUUGUGAGACCACCUGCUGAUGCUGACACCGGAGAGACACGCAGCUGCACGCAGCCCUCAGACAAUGCCUGGCUGGUUUUCUUAUGAACGCAUUCAAACGGCUCCUCCAUCAGUUGCUCUGGCGGAGCCGCAGUGUGAAGCCCGACACCCUUUUCGCCUGGAAUCCUCCCGAGCAGCCUGGAAGAUUUAAAGAAUGCAUAUUCAUAAGUGAUAAUCACGGCACAGGCUCCAACAAAUUCACACACGGGGAACUUUUCUCAUGUACACAACUGCUUUACUCAACAGUCUACUGAGCUAAUUGUGUAUGUGAGGAAUAUUCCUGCUGUGAUUCUGAGGUCAAUGACCUUCGUGCACCUCACCACGGCGAGCGGAACACAUGUGCUCGUUUGCUGGGCCGAUGAGUUUGAACCUGAGCGUGAAAUAAGGCUUUAGACAAAAGGUGCAACAAACACGCGGCGAACAACCAUGCGACAAAGCGGCGGACGUCCCUGCAGACGUCUCACUCGGGCUUGUUUUCUUUGAGCUCGCUGCCGUUUACUUCUCAUCCGUCUGUCAAGAGGGAGAGUUGCAGCAGAUCGGCGGCGGCGGCGCCGCCUUUGUCUCGUAAAUCCAACUUCCUGACAUCCGCGGCACUGCGGAGGGUUGUUGCUCGACAGAAAUACGCUCCUUUUUGUUCCUCGCUUCCUGACAACAAAGCAAACUCCGCAUCAGAAGCGCAAAGGGUGCGCCUUGAAGUAGGAGCUAUAUAUAGAAGUCUUGUAAGUCGGGCAUGAAUUAACACGGAGCGAGCUGUUGACUUGGAACAUUUCAAACACCCUGAGAAAAACGAUGAUGUUGGCGACGGCAGGGGAGAGGAUUCAUUAUGGAGGAGUGAGCCAAUAUGCUGCGCCGGACUAACGGAGCUCGGCCACGUUGUGGCGGCACGUUAGAACAGAUGGAAGAAAAUAAAUGCACUUUUCUUGUGAGUGAAACAAUUAAUACUCCUGCUUGUCUGAUAUUGCUUUCGAGUUGAAAAUGAUUCCCCUUCAAACUAAACUCGUAUUUUGGAGCAAAAAUGAAAAGUUUUUUCACAAUCAAUACGUAAUAGCCUGAGAUUUAAAAAUACUGUGCCGGUACACCGCACAGUCUGAUGCCGGAUCAAUAGCAAAAUGCAUCUGGUUCACAGCAGGGGAGAUGGAGCAUGGAUCAAUAAUAAGCAAAUUUCCAGGAAUUGCGAGAGGUAUUGACUAUUUAAUCAGCCGUUUCUCUCAAAAGGUGCAUCUACGGCUCCUGAUGCAGAAACGCCGAUGGGCCUUUGUGAUGAACUCAGACUGCAGCGGGCAGACGGGCGGGUAGAAGUCGCACGUAGAGCAUCGCGGUCACAGCGGCUUUCCUUUGGACCUCGUUUAUAAUAACUUGUGUUGCACGAAUGUAGACCGAAGGAUAACCGUGAUGAUGUCAUAUAUGUUUCUUAUUGCCAAAAAAAUCCUUUUAAAAGACCAAAAUCUUUCAUGAAUGAAAGUAGUCUGUUGCCCCGGGAUACACGUUGCGUCACAUGACGGACUUGGGCACCGCGGUCUAUUUUACACACUGUACACACCGCA
ensembl:lncRNA